CUAAAUAUUGUUAUUGCAGGUGACUGUUGAGAACAGUUUAAAAGGGAAUCAGGUGAAAUUCCUGAACGGUCCCGCCGCUGUGAUGGUGAGACAUCUCAUGGUAAAUCCACUGGAUGAGUUCCGGGAAGGAAUGAGGUGUCGAUGAACCAGAGUCAGAAGACCUGCCUGUAAUGUUACACCAUA
rnacentral:ncRNA from 2 species